rnacentral:rRNA from 1 species
GCAGCAGCCGCGGUAAUACAGAGGGUGCGAGCGUUAAUCGGAUUUACUGGGCGUAAAGCGUGCGUAGGCGGCUUCUUAAGUCGGAUGUGAAAUCCCUGAGCUUAACUUAGGAAUUGCAUUCGAUACUGGGAAGCUAGAGUAUGGGAGAGGAUGGUAGAAUUCCAGGUGUAGCGGUGAAAUGCGUAGAGAUCUGGAGGAAUACCGAUGGCGAAGGCAGCCAUCUGGCCUAAUACUGACGCUGAGGUACGAAAGCAUGGGGAGCAAACAGGAUUAGAUACCCCCGUAGUCCCUGUCUCUUAUAC